GACGAACGCUGGCGGCGUGCCUAAUACAUGCAAGUGGGACGCAAGGGAACACACUGUGCUUGCACACCGUGUUUUCUUGAGUCGCGAACGGGUGAGUAACGCGUAGGUAACCUGCCUAUUAGCGGGGGAUAACUAUUGGAAACGAUAGCUAAUACCGCAUAAUAUUAAUUAUUGCAUGAUAAUUGAUUGAAAGAUGCAAGCGCAUCACUAGUAGAUGGACCUGCGUUGUAUUAGCUAGUUGGUAAGGUAAGAGCUUACCAAGGCGACGAUACAUAGCCGACCUGAGAGGGUGAUCGGCCACACUGGGACUGAGACACGGCCCAGACUCCUACGGGAGGCAGCAGUAGGGAAUAUUUGGCA
rnacentral:rRNA from 1 species